rnacentral:lncRNA from 1 species
CCGCUAACAGACCGCCGGACGGGCCGGGGUUUCCCCUGUACGCGGACAUAGUCUCCCCAGUACGUUCUAGGCGUCGCAAUCCAAACAAUACAGAGAUGUUCCAACCAGGAACGGAUAUCAAUCAAGAUUGCAUAAGGAAGUAUCAAAUACAUAAACUACUAGCUAUUACAAGCAUUCAUUCACUUUUACAUCACAGUUUCUAUUUACAUUUUUACUUCCAGAUUACAAUCUCAUCACAUUAGGGUUUACAAGUUUAAUACAUUUUAUUUUUCCUUGUCUUCUAGUCCCCUAAGCUAGACUGCCUCAGGGUACUUCUACCUCGGUCUCUGUGGCAGGGCGCUAUCUACUGAGCUACGCCGCGCUGCCGCGCUCCGCUCCCGCANGGUCUCUGUGGCAGGGCGCUAUCUACUGAGCUACGCCCUCGCCUCGCGCCGUCGCGCCGCACAUGUACAACCUGAAAACACCCGAAACAACGUGGGGUGAGAACCAACUCCAUGGUUCCCAGUGGGUACGGCCACCCAAGGGAAAAGCUCGACCGAUAGGUCUGAGGAGGCACUGCAACAUGUUAGUUCAACAAUAUACAACAGAUAUAUAUUCAAUUGAAAUACAUGCCAUGCCUCACAAUAUGCGAUAUGCAAAUCAUGCAACUCUACGCAACAUCUAGUAGAUCCACAGAUUCUACAUUUACUUGGCUACUCUUAGCUCGCAUCUUUACUCUAAGGCUUCUAUUACCUUAGGAUCUCAAGCCUCUAUCUCUAGCUCAUAGGGGUUCCUCUACCCUAUCAAAGCUAACCACCCGACUCGGCUUCGAGUCGAUCAUCCGCGGGCCCUCUCUGUCUCAGCCCCCUAGCGGCGAAGUCGUCCAACACGCUAAGCCUGGCUCAAGUCGCACGACUUGACCAUCUGGCGGCGAUCACGUUGCUCUUACCCAGCGUGAGCUCGAGACCUGACACGCCGUCUGGCGGCGAACGGGUCGCACCACACCCAACAACAGCACAUGUCAGACUCAGCCACCUGGAGGCACCCGCAUCGUACUCACCCAGUAUGGAUUCAGUCUGCUCUGGCGGUCUGAUCCUCAGUCGGCUUAACCAUCCGGCGGCGAAAUCGUCGCACAAAUGCCACGUCAAUGGUUCAAGCCUCGGGCGGUGAUCUCCAUGUGAUCGCCCCCAAUCCUCCCUCGGUACCAAGCUCGGCGGCGAAGUCGUCGCACAAACGCCCUAGCUUUUACCAAGGUCAUAACAAAUCAUGGGAUUCCGGAAUCCACUUUCCACAGGUCGAGGGUCCAUAACCAACCCUAUGCUGUCGACCUAUCUCAUCCUAGUGGCUAGUACCACUAUACUCAUCAACCUAGGUUCCAACACUCUAGGUUCUAUGUCCAUGUCACUUAACCUAGUUACAUUUGCUAGGUUCUUGUCCUCUUUGCCUAGAUGUCCAUGUCUAGGUUUACUAGUUCGACCUAGGUUUACUAACACUAGGUUCAAUGUUACACACCUAGAUUACUCGACUCUAGGUUCACUAACACUAUGUUCUUUACCACUAGGUUGGAUGCCACUCGAUCUACCUGACAACCUAGUUGUCCAGUCAACUCUGCUCAUACUAGAGUUAUCAUCUUUAUUCCUCAUGCAUACUAUUUAGCAUUUCUAUCUAUGCAUUAUUAUUAAUAUGCACUCUUUACAUUAGCUAGCAUUAUUUACAUGUCAUGCUAUCAUGCUUGCUACUUAGCAUUUUAGUCUAUGCAUCGUUGUACCAUGCGUUCUUUUCUUAGCCUUUACUUUAUGCAUAUCUAUUAAUGCACCAUUUAGUCUUGUCUACAUGCACAUGCAUCAACAUGAGAUUACAUUGCUAAGACAUAAAGGGCGACCUAGUCGCUUCGGUAAGCACAACCCACCUUAAUUCGCGUUCCGAUUGCUUGUCGACACUUGCAAUCGGCCUCCCGCGGCACCCGUAUCCGGCACGGCCCGAUACUGCAACUGCGCCUCAACCAUGUUCCGCUUCGCAGCCCCGAAAAUUACAGGUCUUCGGUUAUGUGCCACGAUGCCUUAAAUCCAUUUCCAUGAUUUUACGACGUCGCCUCGGACCUCCCGGCGGACCCGAAGCCUAAACGUCUAUUUCUUUAAUAACUUUGUAACGGCUCGUCGGAUUAUCGAACCGACUUCGCCAGCGCAUUUCAUUACCUAGCAAUUAGGUUUACGGAGGGUCAAAUUAGAUCAAACCCUUAUAUUUUACAAAACCCCAUUCGGAGCCCUAAUGUACAAUUAACCUCCAAAUAAUCCAAAUUAAAUGGAUCAACAUGCCAACAAAGCUCAUUAGAUGCUACUAGAACACUUAAAGCUAAGGAUUAAGCCAAAUCCCAAAAGCUUACCCCAAUGUGAACGCCGCAACGAAAACACGCCGCUCCAACGGGCGCACGAAAGCUCAAUCCGUCGCCUCCAACGCGUUCGCAAGCUCGAUCUCCACCAACGCCGCGAAUUUGGGCGAGAAAUAUAGAGAGAUGAGAGAGAUAUUUAGAGAGAGAAAAGGGAGGGUUUCUCUCACUACACCAUGAACGUGUGCUUGUGUGGGGUGGUGGUCGGCUGUGAAGAGGAAGAAGCCUAGUAGCUUCUACUUAUAGUCAACACCUCAAUAGUAGCAUACACUAUUCACAUCAGGCAGCUCCAAAUCUGAUAUCUUUCGCCGGAGCUCCCUGAAUAUCCGUUUGAGCUCAAACUUGACAGUCAUGUUCGGUUUUACUUAACGAGUCCAAAGAAAUUUUAAUAUUUCAGUUUCGACCCCGUUUGGUCACCGAAAACUGUGCCGAACUGCAAUCUUUAUCAGAUAGCUUUCGGAUUUUAUUUCUCACUCUACAGGUGUCUGAAAAAUAUGAAACUUUAAAUCUAGCCUCAUAAAAAUAUUUCUGACAUCCCCGCCAAUUUUCAUAAUUUUCUGAGACUGUGCAUUUUCUGCUAAUUUAUCAGUCCCGUUUCCAACAGAAAAUUCUAAAUCUUCUGUUUUCACUCCGAUUUCAGCACAGGUCGUUCCCAACUGAUAUUUCACUUCUCUAAAUCUAAUAAAAUAGUAUCUCAUACUAUUUUUAUUUAUUUUUCUCUUUUAUAUUUAAAAUCCAGUAUGUUACAUUCCAUCGCAACCUCACCGGAACCAUUUAAAUGUACACCGUAACUUCAUAAUUUUAGAAGUCCGGUACCUUACAUCCUCCCCUCCUUAAAAGAGUUUCGUCCCCGAAACUAACUCACUUCAAGUCCAAUUCACUCCUCAACUCAACUUAUUGAGCGACAUAGGGUUCUAAUGCACUUUUAUACUCCGGGGUGGCCUUUUACUCAUUGGAAUCAUCCAAAGGCGCACCACGGAGGGUGUGAGACCAGGUUCACUCACAUUUGCUAAGCGUAACUCCAAAAGUGCAUUACGGGUCUCCGUCAUUCCUUGUGGUAGCACAAGUCGAAACUCAACGACUCUACGCACUCCAACACCAACCCUCACGCAGCUAUUUCUUAUUCAAGUGUCUCCUAGAGAACACUUUACUUUUCUCUUUAUUCUUUACUACCACAAGCCACGUUCAACAUCACACGAACCCUCCGUUCGUGAAUCCAAGCCCAACUCACUAACAGAGUUGCUGGUCGCACCGAUUAUCGGUUUUCACAGGCGGACAAACGGUUGUAAUCAUUACGUAGGCCUACCACCUAUACCUGCCAUAACUACGCAUAGCGUCUCUCGCCCGUAUCGUAGAUCCAAUCAUCAUUAGGCGAAAUUCUCAUUGGAGAAUUCGCACAAACUCCAACCAGGAGCAACCAAGAUCCUAGACCACGUCAAGUCCUCGGGUUGGGUCACUAUGCACUUGGUGUGCCAUCAAUCUCACGAUCUAUCGCGUCGCAUUCCACGUACUCGGGUCCAAGCUCGGACUACCGUCCUGACCAACACUCUGCCCUACCAGUAGGUAUCGGGCCGCUGUCUCUCACAGCUGAUUGCGCCUGCCUAAUGGGCCCAGGCUCCACAAUCCACAAAUGGUCCAGGCACGGGUCAUCCUCAAGCACCACCCGUCGUCGUCGUCGUACACGACAUGUUCUACAGAGCUACACACUCUAUCGGCCCCUAGGCACCUAGUGCGAGCCACCAGCCCUACGAGUGAUCCAUGGCCCGCUUCACACUUAGCCCUGCUAAAGUGCUACUGCCAAUUCACUCAACCGGCUGAAUCGGAACCGCACUUCAGGAGUAACUACACUCGAGUGCUCUACGCCUCUAAAGCGUUCCACGAAAUCUAGCAUCAGGCAACCUUGCCUAUGCACACCGACUACACGAGCAGGACUCGCCGACCUCAACUUGAGGUACUACUAGGCCUACGUGCCCGUAUUCGGCAACUAUACGGUUACUCUCUCAACAGUGAUUCUACCUUCACUGUUCGAUCUACCGGAACACAUUCUCAACUCCCGUGUCUUUCGAGUAUCCUCAACAUCAAGGCUCAACUCUCACAAUUUCCAACCCAUUAUUUCGAGAGUCACUUACUAGACCAUGUUCUCCACGAGCCUCAUUCCGUACCGGAGAAUCAUCACUAGCCAUUAGCUAGCACCACUUGGCUUUCUACUUGCACCAGCAGGUGCCACUUCUCACAAUGCAAGCAUGUACGGGCGUCUACUUACCCGACUAUUCGGUCCCUACUAUGCAAUAUAUAAUUAGUAGCAACCGACCAACAACAAAUGCAUGCUAUGCACCAACUUGAGAUUAGUAAAAGCACAUGCUUGCUCAAUUAACUCAUACCUGCCACGAUGACGUCAGCAACGGCAGGCUCUGCAACUCGGGUCGCUUACCCAUGCCCACCUGGCGCUCGUCGCGAACCCUCUGGUUGCAUCGUCCUCAACGGCCGCUCUCCCGACCAUGCCGCAGGUGGCACACCUGCAGGUUGUCCCAGAGAGGGAUGGGCCGUCGCCAGUGUCAAGGCCCGGCCGUCACCACGCGGACACUCGUCCCGCAUAUGACCCGGCAGCCCACACUUGAAGCACUUGCCUUCACGCUGCUCACACUGUUGUGGGAAAUGAGGGCCUCCACAAAUAGCACAUUUCGCCGAGGACUGAAUGCGGUAUGUCCCCGGAGCUCGGGAUCGCGAGUGCGAACUCGUCGAAGUCCGUUGGGAACUUGACUGACCACUGGAUCCACCUGUCGGUCGUCCUUUCCUCUUUUCCUUGUAAUAUGCCUCUCGCUCUUCCCGCAUAAAGGCGUUGCCCUGUUCUAUCCACAAGGCCCGAUCCAGGACUUCAGCAAAAGUCUGCAACUUGAGUACCAGCACCGCCUGGUAAAGAUCUGGCCGAAGUCCACGCACGAAGCAGUCAGCCCUGUCCUUGUCAUCCCGCACCACGUCAUAGGAGGGAGACUAGGCGGUCGAUCACGGAAAAACUCCCGCUCGUAUUGCCUGACCGUGCGACUUCCUUGCCGCAGCUUAAGGAACCCUUCCUUGAGUUUCCGCUUCUCGCUAUCGGGGAAAUAAGCCGAGAACACCAAUCCCCGAAAUUCUUCCCACGUCAUAGGAGGGAGACUAGGCGGUCGAUCACGCUUAAUGCCUUUCCACCACACCUUCGCCGACUGUUUGAGAUAAUGCGCGGCUAAGUUUAUCUUGUCUCGCUCCAACGUGUACAGAUCCUCGAAGAGUGUUUCCAUGGAAUCGAUCCACAUCUCAAUGACCCAGGGAUCUGCAUCCUCUCCAUCAAAGGUAGGCGGAUAAAAUUUCUUGAAAACCAUGAGGAACGCCAAAGCUCGCUCCCUCUCCGCCUCCAACUCGGAACCAACAGGAGUCGGAUCGCCCGACCCCGACGGAACUACCUCCGCCGCGACUCCCAGCUGUCCUCGACGAGCCGUAGCUCGUGCAGCCACCAGCAGAUCCACCGUUUCUUGGAGUCUUUUCAUCUGCUCCUCCUGGCGCACAGCAGCCUCCUGCUGCCGCUGCACCACAUCAGCCUGCUGCCUCAACACUCUUACGAGUGUGGCCAACUGAUCACGAAGCUCUGAGUCUCCGCUCGCAUCGAUUUGCUCGGGAACACCACUUGGCCCCUCCCACGCCGAUCUGGAAGAAGAUCGCCUACGCGGUGCCAUCGUUUCCUAAAACACGACAACUCGAUUAGUUCUCGACCCUCAGGGUCAAACGCGAGACCACUAACAUCGGCUCAAAAGCCAAUCAGGCGAAAGUCACGCAAGGGUGUUUAUUCAUAUCACUCGGUUUCAUGUUGUCGUACGCCCAACAUGAACAAUCUUGGCUGAGAAUAAACCACACCUCGAGUCUACCUCUAAUAUCCGUCUUAGAGGUUUACAACACAACCCAAUCCAUUAACCUUUCGCCACGAAUCAUAAGUCCUCGUCUCUCACGAGCCUUAUUCUCCUAUGGUUUUACUAUCCUAGGGUCUCCUAAGUCAGUCUAAGCCAUUCCCAUUCUCUACUUUAUGCUCUGAUACCACUUUAUCUGUCACGCCCCGCGACCAACCGCCAAUUUGAACUGGAUCGCGGCGCCGCUAACAGACCGCCGGACGGGCCGGGGUUUCCCCUGUACACAGACAGAGUCUCCCCAGUACGUUCUAGGCGUCGCAAUCCAAACAAUACAGAGAUGUUCCAACCAGGAACGGAUAUCAAUCAAGAUUGCAUAAGGAAGUAUCAAAUACAUAAACUACUAGCUAUUACAAGCAUUCAUUCACUUUUACAUCACAGUUUCUAUUUACAUUUUUACUUCCAGAUUACAAUCUCAUCACAUUAGGGUUUACAAGUUUAAUACAUUUUGUUUUUCCUUGUCUUCUAGUCCCCUAAGCUAGACUGCCUCAGGGUACUUCUACCUCGGUCUCUGUGGUGGGGCGCUAUCUACUGAGCUACGCCCUCGCCUCGCGCCGNNNN